rnacentral:rRNA from 1 species
UACGUAGGGUGCGAGCGUUAAUCGGAAUUACUGGGCGUAAAGCGUGCGCAGGCGGUUCGUUAAGUCAGCUGUGAAAGCCCCGGGCUUAACCUGGGAAUUGCGGUUGAAACUGGCGAACUAGAAUCUGGCAGAGGGGGGUGGAAUUCCACGUGUAGCAGUGAAAUGCGUAGAGAUGUGGAGGAACACCGAUGGCGAAGGCAGCCCCCUGGGCUGAGAUUGACGCUCAGGCACGAAAGCGUGGGGAGCAAACAGG